AUACGCGCUUCAGCUAUCUCAAAAAAGCUCUGUGUUUCCCUCUCUCACUAUCUCCUCCAUCUUAUAAAGCUCUAACAUAGGCGAUUAAAUCCUCUCUCUCAUCCCACUCCUACCUAUUCUCUUCCGAUAGAAAUUGUCUCCGUCAACAUCACUAACGAAAUAUGUCUUGAAUGAUACCCAUUCGACUUCUCAGGGGGAUUCAAAGAUGAUUUUGGGAUUUUUUGGAAGCAAUUUCAAUCAAAAUCAACUUCCAACAAGUGAUUUGAAUCUUCAUUACAAGGUUUGUAUCCAGAAUCUUUCUUUAAAAUUAUGAAUAUUUGCUUAAUUAGGGUUUCAUAUUUGUAUGUUUGGGAGGGGAUUUUGUUAUUAGGUUUCCUAAUAUAAGCUCUUCCAAUGACAUAUAUAUAGAAAGAUUGAUAAGUUUUUCCUUUUCUUUCUGUCGGCUCUAUGCAAAUUGGCGUCAAAUUCAAUUCGUUGCCCUCUCAACGUUUUCCCCAAGUAUUCAUCAGUUUUUGGCAAUACAAAACACCAUUUUAAUCUCUUCGCUAAAAUACAAAAUCAAAUAUUCCUUUGGUUUAUGAGAUUUUUGGAAGAAGAAUGAGAAUUGGGGGCGAUUUACUGAAAUGGCCUCUUCUUCUUCAUCUUCUCGCUCUAACGAUUCUACACCGAGUCGGUCUCAACUCAGUGUCUGCGACAUGCGAAUUCAGUCUCACUGAUGGCAACACGUUCUACAACUACAGCUUGGCAACUUCCAUCCCUAAAUUCCCCGCGCCCUCAGCGAAGAUGGGACAUUGCUGUUGGAUGAGUUGGAGCAAAUGGAAAAGGACAUUGUCAUUAUAUUAUGCAAACUGGAAUGGAUAUUUCCCUAGCCUUUUUCGACGUAACGGUCCACUUAGCAAUUCACCUUCCUCAUGAGGCCAUCCUUGCCAGACCAGUGCAAUAUCGGUGGAUGUAUCCAAUAGAAAGGUUCUUGCAUUCUUUAAAGACAACGGUUCGAAAUAAAGCCAAACCCGAGGGAUCAAUUGCUGAGGCAUAUAUUGACAAAGAAUGCCUGACUUUUUGUUCAAUGUAUCUCAAAAGGGUUGAGACAGUGUUUAAUCGAGAUGAACGGAAUUACGAUGGCAGUCGAGGAAAUAAAGGUCAGGACCUUUUUGUUUUUAUUCGAGAUAUAUGUCCUUUGGGAGCACCGACCUAUUUCAAUAUGCCAUUUAAUGAUCUUGAUAAGGUUCGAAUGUA